rnacentral:rRNA from 1 species
GGUAACACGUAUCCAACCUGCCGUCUACUCUUGGCCAGCCUUCUGAAAGGAAGAUUAAUCCAGGAUGGCAUCAUGAGUUCACAUGUCCGCAUGAUUAAAGGUAUUUUCCGGUAGACGAUGGGGAUGCGUUCCAUUAGAUAGUAGGCGGGGUAACGGCCCACCUAGUCAACGAUGGAUAGGGGUUCUGAGAGGAAGGUCCCCCACAUUGGAACUGAGACACGGUCCAA